rnacentral:rRNA from 1 species
CAUUUCUUCUCCUGAUGAAAUGUUGAAAGAUGGUUUACGCUAUCGCUAUAGGAUGGGCCCGCGGCGCAUUAGCUAGUUGGUGAGGUAAUGGCUCACCAAGGCGACGAUGCGUAGCCGACCUGAGAGGGUGAUCGGCCACACUGGGACUGAGACACGGCCCAGACUCAUACGGGAGGCAGCAGUAGGGAAUCUUCCACAAUGGACGAAAGUCUGAUGGAGCAACGCCGCGUGAGUGAAGAAGGUUUUCGGAUCGUAAAACUCUGUUGUAAGGGAAGAACAAGUGCAGUAGUAACUGGCUGCACCUUGACGGUACCUUAUUAGAAAGCCACGGCUAACUACGUGCCAGCAGCCGCGGUAAUACGUAGGUGGCAAGCGUUGUCCGGAUUUAUUGGGCGUAAAGCGCGCGCAGGCGGUCCUUUAAGUCUGAUGUGAAAGCCCACGGCUCAACCGUGGAGGGUCAUUGGAAACUGGAGGACUUGAGUGCAGAAGAGGAAAGUGGAAUUCCAAGUGUAGCGGUGAAAUGCGUAGAGAUUUGGAGGAACACCAGUGGCGAAGGCGACUUUCUGGUCUGUAACUGACGCUGAGGCGCGAAAGCGUGGGGAGCAAACAGGAUUAGAUACCCUGGUAGUCCAC